GGCUGAGGUUUAUACAUUUCAGACAGGUAGACAAAAUAUGCAAAUGGAUUUUUUAAAACCAAAAAUCAAUGUUAAUAAAAAUAGUUUGCUCUUAGCAGGUUUUUUUGUGGCAGGAUAAAGAUAAUAUUAGGUUUCUGACUUCUAUAACUUUAGUUUAUCCAGCUCGUCUCCGAGAAGUUCUUCCAGGUCUCGACAGAGCCUCGGGGUGGAUAAACUUUCUCCGAUUUGCUAGAUAAACUGAAAAGAUAUGUCAAAACAUUGAAUAAAAGCUCUUAUCUUACCUACUGUAACAAAACCUAUACAAUACAGAAAUAUGAAUAAAAACCAUAAUUUAGCAGUACAUUUUUAAGAAUGCAAUUCCAGUCAAUCUGUUUGUUAAUAAUUGUGUCAAGUACUGGAGAUCACCAAGAAACCGAUCCAUGAACUUAAAAAAAGGGUUAAACCGCACUGAUGCCAAUACGUAAAACGGUGGACACAUCUCGGCGGACGGAAGGAAUAUUUCUGGAAAGAGUAUUUCUAACAAGACAACAAUCAUAAGACUCAAGUGGCAAACGAGAAUUGAUAAUAUACAUAUACUCCGCUUAAAUAAGUACUUAAAAGGCGGAAAUACCCAUUUACAUUGCUAUCCGAUACUAUCAUAUUAUGCCCAAUAACUAAAACGCUGUGAUAUUUAUGUAAACAACAUGAAUAUCUUAAAUUGCGCCAUUUUGUUUCUAGUGUAAUCAGCGUUCCAAACGACUGCCAUUGACUUUGUAUAUACCUGCUUUUAACAUUAAUGCCUGUUUAAAUAAAGGACGAGUAGAAAUCAACAAUUUUAAUUGAGCAAAUAUUAACGUUUUAACUCUUCCAUCCGGCAAUUUUGAAAGGAAACUUUCAGAAUAAAUAAAGAUAUACAGUACGGCUUCUUAACAAGAUUAUUUGUCUCUUGUGCUUACCUUUGUUUUCAAAUAUACGUAAUAAACCUUUUAUACCUUAGUUUAUACUAAUUUGUUUUAGUUUGAUUGUGAUGAAAGCUUUAAACUUUUAUACCUUAACGUGUAAUACACCGCUGAACCGUUUAAAAGAUACACUGCAUUUAUAGUACAACUAGUUUUUGAAAUAGCUUCUUUAUCUGAAUAAAAGGAUUUAAGAAUAUUUUUGUACCACAAGUGGAUCGGAAAAGAAACAAGCAUGAGGUGUCAACGACAAAAGAAUUUUUUAGCUUCAGUUUUCCUGUUUUAUCUGUCAACAUUAACAUGGACAAUGAUUCAAAGUUCAUUUGUUUCAUUUCAACGUAUAUCAGGAUCACGUUUUACGUCAGAGCUUGGUACGUUACAAGUCAUGUUCGAAGCACAGUGCGUUCAUUUCUGUUCCAUAACGCCACACUGCUCUUCUGUAAGCUUUAAUUGGGAACAUAAUAAAUGCGAGCUGGGAUCUGCAUGGAUGGUUAUUGAAUUGAUAGUUGCAAGCCAAGAUUGGGAGCUGCUCUACAGGGAAAGUAUAUUUACCGGUAUGCAGAUCGGGUUCAUGCUUUGAACUGAAUACUGCAAAACUGACAUGGAACGAAGCUAAUGAUUAUUGUAAAGCACAACAUGCUGGUGGACAUCUUGCGCAUAUUAAAACUGAGAGUGACCAGAUACUCCUGAAUACUGUAAUUGCAGGCGAUGUUUGGAUUGGAUCCCGAGAUAUUGAGACUGAAGGUGUCUUCCUUUGGACUGAUGGCACCCUUAUAUCUGAAGGUUAUAACAAUUGGGAUGCGGGACAGCCCGACAAUUACAACGGUGUCGAAGAUUGCGUUAUGGUCUGGGCGUUCCGAGACCUUAAAUGGAACGAUGAAUUUUGCGGUGGUUUAUUGAUGAGUGUUUGCCAGUAUCCAGUAUCAACAUGAUUUGCUUCAAUAAAGGCUUAACACAUCAACAAAAUUUCUUCAAAAACGAACAGAAUUUGAUUUUUUUUAAUAUAAAACGCUUAAAAGGUUCUUUUUUUUCAGGUAAAAAUCAUCGUGAUUUGUUUUAACUACGAUUAUAUGUAUCAUGUGGAUUUAAAUAAAGCAACAAGUAUUCACAGAAAACAUACAAUCAUUAACAGGAAGUGAUUAUAAAAUAAAUAUCAUGCGCAUCAAAAGAGUUACUAUUAUAAG